rnacentral:rRNA from 1 species
AGAGUUUGAUCCUGGCUCAGGAUGAACGCUGGCGGCGUGCCUAACACAUGCAAGUCGAACGAAGCUUGACGGAUGAUUUCUUCGGAAUGAAACCUGAUAUGACUUAGUGGCGGACGGGUGAGUAACACGUGAGCAACCUGCCUUUCAGAGGGGGAUAACGGCUGGAAACGGUCGCUAAUACCGCAUGACGUGUUCGGAUGGCAUCAUCUGAACAUCAAAGAUUUAUCGCUGAAAGAUGGGCUCGCGUCUGAUUAGAUAGUUGGUGGGGUAACGGCCUACCAAGUCUACGAUCAGUAGCCGGACUGAGAGGUUGAACGGCCACAUUGGGACUGAGAUACGGCCCAGACUCCUACGGGAGGCAGCAGUGGGGAAUAUUGCACAAUGGGGGAAACCCUGAUGCAGCAACGCCGCGUGAAGGAUGACGGUUUUCGGAUUGUAAACUUCUUUUCUUAGUGACGAAGACAGUGACGGUAGCUAAGGAAUAAGCAUCGGCUAACUACGUGCCAGCAGCCGCGGUAAUACGUAGGAUGCAAGCGUUAUCCGGAUUUACUGGGUGUAAAGGGAGCGCAGGCGGGACUGCAAGUUGGAUGUGAAAUACCGUGGCUUAACCACGGAACUGCAUCCAAAACUGUAGUUCUUGAGUGAAGUAGAGGCAAGCGGAAUUCCGAGUGUAGCGGUGAAAUGCGUAGAUAUUCGGAGGAACACCAGUGGCGAAGGCGGCUUGCUGGGCUUUAACUGACGCUGAGGCUCGAAAGUGUGGGGAGCAAACAGGAUUAGAUACCCUGGUAGUCCACACUGUAAACGAUGAUUACUAGGU